UUAAUGUCUUUAUUUGAUAUAUUUUUACUUAUUACUUAGUUGUAUAUCUUAGUUUUGCUUAUAUUUUUAAAUAUCUAUUCAUUUUGUGAACUUUGCAAAAUUUUCAAAAAUUUGCGUAGUGUUUCUGUUACCUGCGACUGUGAUUGCGAAUGCUGCCACCACUGCGAAAUCCAUGGUGUAUAUAUAUAACACAAUGUGCUGUUACAUAACAGAUUUUUAGGGUACUGACAUGAUAUUUCCUGUUUCUGUACACAAAAUAUGAAUCUCUUAUCGGAUGAUAGUGCCAAUGUGGACCAAUAGGCUUUGUUUAAUGGGUUUUUUCUUUAUUUAAGGCCUUAGCUUCUAAUGGACUUGCUUUUAAACUUCUAUUUGGUUUGUUGCUAUCAGCCCUUUUAUAAAAGGAGGGCUUCUAGCCAUUUAUAUAAGGACAUGAUUUUUGUAUCAAAUAAUUUUUUUUUAAUUUGUAAUUCAUGCUAGAUAAACAACUUUAAUAUUUGUAAUGCUGAAAAUUAUUAAUUUGUAAAUGUAAGAUUUAUGUGUCUACUAGUUUAUUAGGUUGAUUAUGAAUUGAAAAGCAUAAUUUCUUCUCAACCAAUAGUUAUUUUAGAUGUUGAGAGUAGCGAUAUGUUAUAUAUUCAAUAAAAUAUUUGUUUAACUUUGAAUUUAAGAUAAUUUUUUUCUCUUUUCAAAACUCAAGAUAGAGCUAGCUGAUGCUGUUAUAUUUUUUCCUGAUAUGGCCUGUUGCCAGGACAAUUUGUCCAAUUCUGAUACUUGUGACUGAUGCUGUUAUGUAGAACCCUAUUUGCACCACCUUUAGUGUCUUGCAUGAAUUUAUUUGUUACCAGGAAAACAUAUACUGUGGAAGGUGAAUAUCCUUCAUUCUUAUUUAUUUGUAAUUCAUUGCGGUAAUUUGAAGUUCCUCUUUGUGCUUGACACUUCUGACUUCUUUUAGGCAUUCAAUAGUCAUGUUGAUCGUAAACUAGCCAAUGGCAGUGGUUGUUAGUUGUUUCUUUUCUAGCAUCUUGUUCUGAUUUAUUCUGUAUUCCAACUAAUUGUUUGUGCAUUCUUAAUUUAUUUAGGUUCCUAAUGUUGAAGUAAAUGCCCUGAUGAAAACGUUUAAGAUGAGACCUUUAUUAUUCCCGUUAGCGGGUUCUGUAACUGCUGUAUUUAACUGUCAAGGCCCCCUUGAUGCUCCUGUAUUUGUGGGAAGUGGGAUGGUUUCCAGGAAGAUAUCUCAUUCAGUUUCAGAAGUCCCUGUGUCCUCUGCGUAUGAGGCAGUGUUGAGAAGCAAAGAGGCUGGUGCUGUAGCAGCAUUUGACCGUGUUCCAUUUUCAUAUCUGUCAGCUAAUUUCACAUUUAACACUGACAAUUGUGUUGCUGAUUUGUAUGGAAUCAGAGCUAGCCUCGUGGAUGGUGGUGAAAUUCGGGGGGCAGGGAAUGCAUGGAUUUGCCCUGAGGGUGAGGUGGAUGAUUCAGCAAUGGAUGUAAAUUUCUCUGGCAAU
rnacentral:misc_RNA from 1 species